rnacentral:misc_RNA from 1 species
GUGAUUUCAGUUUUAGCAUGUGAGAUAUCUACAAGUAAGGUUCUUGUCAGCCUUCUGAUCAAAUGAUAUCUACUGUAUUUUAUCUGAUAUAUUUCAGUAGGGAUGGCAACGGGGCUGGUUGAGUCUUAACCUGCUAAAAUUUUAACCUGCCCCACCCACCCUACAUAGCUUUUUUUUCUAUCUUCAACCCACUCGCUUCACCAUGCCCUAUUUUAGUAUCUGUCAUUUUUUUCUUCGUUUUGUUACUUUGCUAAAAAGACAAGUUUACAAAUUAUAUAUCCGGGCAGGGGAAUUCUUGUACGAUUGGGUAGAAAGGGGUAGAUCAUCAUUAAGAACAUGAUUUUAAGCAAGAAAGUCUUACUUUGGUCGUGUCAUUUAAUGUGUUUGGCGUCCAAAGUCAAUGGUAACAGAAUCAAUAGAUGGAGAAUGAAGGAUCACCCUUCCAACUACUUAUGCUCUCAGAAAUUUAAUAAGGCAGGGAGGUUCAUCAGCAUCAUAGCAGUCCAAUGUCAAUGGAGGUCCGUCAUUAUUAUACCAGAGUCUGUAUUUAAUGUGGGUUGAGAGAUGUUGGCACAGAAAAUUGAAGUAUUCAUUAAUAGGAGCGGUCCCCCAAAACAGAAGGAAAUUUUACUUCAACCAAAGAGGAGCUCAACCUUUGCAGAAACUAUUACAAGAAACCGAUGGCAGUCAAAAAAUGGGAAUCUGGAAGUUUUGAACAACGAAAACAGAUGUAUCGAGAUUAGUGGUUUUUCUGGUCUUUCGGAGGAGGACAUACUCAACAGAUGUUUUCUGAAGAUUGCUAUGUUGUCCCGGGGUGUCGAGCAAAUGGGGUAACAUAGUUGGUGUUUUCAACAUGAACGGGUAUCAAUUUCUUUUCGAAUUCCCCUCUCGAUCUUUAGCAGAGAAAGUCAAGCUUGGCCAGUGGAGUAUGCAGCAAGCUAAACUUGACCUUUCAUGGUGGACUGAAGUCUAGUUUAUUUACAUUCGAAUGUCAAACCAUUAACUGGUCAAUUUCUGUAACAAAUGCUAUGUUUGGUUGGAAAAUUUGGUUUGACCACGAGUUCACUUGCAAAACACUGAAUUGUUUAUGUUUUUCUCUGUUCAUCCUAUAUAUGUGAAUUAAUCUAGCUUUAUAGAUUUGGUGUUAAAGACAAGGCAAACCGCUAC